rnacentral:rRNA from 1 species
GAUGAACGCUGGCGGCGUGCCUAAUACAUGCAAGUCGAACGCACAGCGAAAGGUGCUUGCACCUUUCAAGUGAGUGGCGAACGGGUGAGUAACACGUGGAUAACCUACCUCAAGGUUGGGGAUAACAUUUGGAAACAGAUGCUAAUACCGAAUAAAACUUAGUAUCGCAUGAUACCAGGUUAAAAAGGCGCUACGGCGUCACCUAGAGAUGGAUCGCGGUGCAUUAGUUAGUUGGUGGGUAAAGGCUUACCAAGACAAUGAUACAUAGCCGAGUUGAGAGACUGAUCGGCCACAUUGGGACUGAGACACGGCCCAAACUCCUACGGGAGGCUGCAGUAGGGAAUCUUCCACAAUGGGCGAAAGCCUGAUGGAGCAACGCCGCGUGUGUG